rnacentral:misc_RNA from 1 species
UUCCGUAAAGGUGCAUGAGUGGUGUUUGGUUUGUUACGGAUGGUUGGAUGUCUGCCUGUGCAGCAACUUCCAUGCGGGCUUACCUCUUCAAUUGUGCUACAAGACUUGUUUGGCUUGCAGCAUUCGGUGGGUUUCUUGUGUUGCUUACCUAGUCGAUGGCAUUGUUUGUCCCUAUAAGUUGCAUUUUGUAACACGCUGCUUGCGGCGUGAUACAAACAAUGAAGCAACCUUUGUUGUUCAACCUGUUGCUGCUCAUGCAUCGACGGCUUGGCCCAUGAAGUGUUGAUUGGUCCCUUGGAUAUGGAACAUGAUGCGGGCACAAGUUCGUCAUAGAUCUUGUAUUUGCCCUUAUCGAGUGAUUUAGCUUCUUUAAAUGACCGUCGUCCAUGUAUCGACAAGUCG